UGUCUUCUGGAAUGUUCGCCAGUUCAUUCAUGUCCCUGGCCGAUGCUUUAAACCUAGGAAGAUGACAUUGUUGCUAUUGUGCAAGCUCGGCGCGUACCGAGAAGCCUACGGCAAUGACGAGUCUUCCGCCCUGAAUCUUUCGGUUCACGGGCGAACGAUGAACAGCGGCAUUCUGGAAGGCGC
rfam:Alteromonas confluentis strain KCTC 42603 Alteromonas_confluentis_KCTC42603_S22, whole genome shotgun sequence.